CAAUCAAUACGGCAAUUACGCACAAAACAAAGAAUGAACAAACAAACAAACAAAAAGUGAACAACACACACACCGUUGUCGUAUCGUAUUUCUGUGCAUUUGUU
rnacentral:ribozyme from 1 species